UAAAAAGCACUUCCUGGUUGCUUCAUGGAAGAGAUUUUUAAAAUAUGUUUUCCCCUUCUCCAUGAGGGCAGUGCCAGGAGUCCUCUAGGAAUCAGAUUGGCUGGAGCAGUUUGAGUAGCAGCUGUUCCAGCCAGUAAGACCAAAAGAGGAUGUUGAAGGCUGGGAAGAUGGGGCUGGAGGAAGCUCCCUGUUGUGGAGGAUUCCCUGGCUGCUGGUUUUCAUCACAUGAUGCAGAAAGAACAGAAUGGGAGAGGCAAAGGAUAUGAAAAACCUCAUCUGGACCAACAGCAACAUCUUCCAUACGAAUCAGUGGCCAUGUUGGAAUAAAUCACCAUCUGGAAAGACCCCUGCUCAUUUAUGGGGUCCAAUGUAAAAGUUGGCAACCCUACAGCUAAUAGGGGAGGUUUGAAAUAAUGCUGUAUCCAUGCUGAAUGUUUUCAUGUGAUCUGUUCUAAUAAACAACAUGAGUAAAUUGUGCAGUCAA